rnacentral:rRNA from 1 species
GUCCACGCCAUAAACGAUGACAACUAGACGUUGGGAGGGUUUGCCUCACAGUGUCGCAGCUAACGCGUUAAGUUGUCCGCCUGGGGAGUACGGCCGCAAGGUUGAAACUCAAAGGAAUUGACGGGGACCCCGCACAAGCGGUGGAGCAUGUGGUUUAAUUCGAUGCAACGCGAAGAACCUUACCUGGUCUUGACAUGUCUGGAAUCCCGAAGAGAUUUGGGAGUGCCGCAAGGAACCAGAACACAGGUGCUGCAUGGCUGUCGU